AUGCCCACCACCAUCAAGUGGGAGUUCAAGGAGUUGGAUGCUCAGCAUCGCUGGCAGCUGCUGUACUUGAUGAUCACAGUUGUGUUAAACUGCAAAAUGCUGAGAAUGAUUAUAUUAAUGCCAGCUUAGUUGACAUAGAAGAGGACAAAGGAGUUACAUCUUAACACAGGGUCCACUUCCUAACACAUGCUGCCAUUUCUGGCUUAUGGUUUGGCAGCAGAAGACCAAAGCAGUUGUCAUGCUGAACCGCAUUAUGGAGAAAGAAUUGGUUAAAUGUGCACAGUACUGGCCAACAGAUGACCAAGAGAUGCUGUUUAAAGAAACAGGAUUCAGUGUGAAGCUCUUGUCAGAAGAUGUGAAGUCGUAUUAUACAGUACAUCUACCACAAUUAGAAAAUAUCAAUAGUGGUGAAACCAGAACAAUAUCUCACUUUCAUUAUACUACUUGGCCAGAUUUUGGAGUCCCUCAAUCACCAGCUUCAUUUCUCAAUUUCUUGUUUAAAGUGAGAGAAUCUGGCUCCUUGAACCCUGACCAUGGACCUGUGGUGAUCCACCGUAGUGCAGGCACUGGACGCUCCAGCACCUUCUCUCUGGUAGACACUUGUCUUGUUUUGAUGGAAAAAGGAGAUGAUAUUAACAUUAAACAAGUGUUACUGAACAUAAGAAAAUUCCAAAUGGGUCUUAUCUCAGACCCCAGAUCAACUGAGAUUCUCAUACAUGGCUAUAACAGAAGGAGCAAAAUGUGUAAAGGGAGAUUCUAGUAUACAGAAACGAUGGAAAGAACUUUCUAAGGAAGACUACCUCCUGCUUUUGAUCAUUCACCAAACAAAAUAAUGACUGAAAAAUACAAUAGGAACAGAAUAGGUCUAGAAGAAGAAAAACUGACAGGUGACUGACGUACAGGACUUUCCUCUAAAAUGCAAGAUACAAUGGAGGAGAACAAUGAGAGUGUUCUACGGAAACGUAUGUGAGAGGACAGAAAGGCCACCACAGCUCAGAAGGUGCAGCAGAUGAAAUAGAGGCUAAAUGAGAAUGAACGAAAAAGAAAAAGGCCAAGAUUGACAGAUACCUAA
rnacentral:lncRNA from 1 species